rnacentral:rRNA from 1 species
AGAGUUUGAUCCUGGCUCAGGAUGAACGCUGGCGGCGUGCUUAACACAUGCAAGUCGAACGAAGCACUUUUACAGAUUUCUUCGGAAUGAAGUUUUAGUGACUGAGUGGCGGACGGGUGAGUAACGCGUGGGUAACCUGCCUCACACAGGGGGAUAACAGUUGGAAACGGCUGCUAAUACCGCAUAAGCGCACAGUACCGCAUGGUACAGUGUGAAAAACUCCGGUGGUGUGAGAUGGACCCGCGUCUGAUUAGCUAGUUGGCAGGGCAACGGCCUACCAAGGCGACGAUCAGUAGCCGACCUGAGAGGGUGACCGGCCACAUUGGGACUGAGACACGGCCCAAACUCCUACGGGAGGCAGCAGUGGGGAAUAUUGCACAAUGGGGGAAACCCUGAUGCAGCGACGCCGCGUGAGCGAAGAAGUAUUUCGGUAUGUAAAGCUCUAUCAGCAGGGAAGAAGAAAUGACGGUACCUGACUAAGAAGCACCGGCUAAAUACGUGCCAGCAGCCGCGGUAAUACGUAUGGUGCGAGCGUUAUCCGGAUUUACUGGGUGUAAAGGGAGCGCAGGCGGAAGGCUAAGUCUGAUGUGAAAGCCCGGGGCUCAACCCCGGUACUGCAUUGGAAACUGGUCAUCUAGAGUGUCGGAGGGGUAAGUGGAAUUCCUAGUGUAGCGGUGAAAUGCGUAGAUAUUAGGAGGAACACCAGUGGCGAAGGCGGCUUACUGGACGAUAACUGACGCUGAGGCUCGAAAGCGUGGGGAGCAAACAGGAUUAGAUACCCUGGUAGUCCACACUGUAAACGAUGAUUACUAGGUGUUGGAGGAUUGACCCCUUCAGUGCCGCAGUUAACACAAUAAGUAAUCCACCUGGGGAGUACGACCGCAAGGUUGAAACUCAAAGGAAUUGACGGGGGCCCGCACAAGCAGUGGAGUAUGUGGUUUAAUUCGACGCAACGCGAAGAACCUUACCAAGUCUUGACAUCCAUCGACGACUAUAGAAAUAUAGUUUUCCUUCGGGACGGUGAGACAGGUGGUGCAUGGUUGUCGUCAGCUCGUGUCGUGAGACGUUGGGUUAAGUCCCGCAACGAGCGCAACCCUUAUGGUCAGUUACUACGCAAGAGGACUCUGGCCAGACUGCCGUUGACAAAACGGAGGAAGGUGGGGAUGACGUCAAAUCAUCAUGCCCUUUAUGACUUGGGCUACACACGUACUACAAUGGCGUUAAACAAAGAGAAGCAAGACCGCGAGGUGGAGCAAAACUCAGAAACAACGUCCCAGUUCGGACUGCAGGCUGCAACUCGCCUGCACGAAGUCGGAAUUGCUAGUAAUCGCAGAUCAGCAUGCUGCGGUGAAUACGUUCCCGGGCCUUGUACACACCGCCCGUCACACCAUGAGAGCCGGGGGGACCCGAAGUCGGUAGUCUAACCGCAAGGAGGGCGCCGCCGAAGGUAAAACUGGUGAUUGGGGUGAAGUCGUAACAAGGUA